rnacentral:rRNA from 1 species
GACGAACGCUGGCGGCGUGCUUAACACAUGCAAGUCGAACGGAAAGGCCCUGUUCUUGUGGGGUGCUCGAGUGGCGAACGGAUGAGUCACCCGUGGGUAACCUGCCAUUGACUUGGGGAUAACUCCAGGAAACUGGGGCUAAUACCGGAUAGGAGCUCCUGCUGCAUGGUGGGGGCUGGAAAGUUUCGGCGGUUGGGGUCGGACUCGCGGCUUAUCAGCUUGUUGGUGGGGUAGGGGCUUACCAAGGCUUUGGCGGGUAGGCGGCCGGAGAGGGUGACCGGCCACAUUGGCUCGGAGAGACGGCCCAGACUCCCACGUGAGGCAGCAGGGGGUAAGAUUGCACAAGCGGCGGGAGCCAGAUGCAGCAACGCCUCGCGCGGGAUGACAGCCUGCGGGUUGUAAGCCGCCUUCGCCUGUGACGAAGCAUGAGUGACGGUAAUGGGUAAAGAAGCACCCGCCAACUACGGUC